ensembl:lncRNA
GUGAGGACUCUUCCACUACCUGCUUGACUGUCUGUUGCUCAAAGAAAAAUCAAAAUCCUGCAGAUACUUUUGAACAGAUUACACUCAGCUUCACAUUGGAAUCAAACAAUAAAUUAGAGGAGUCCUUCAGAAGCCAUCCUUCGUGAAAUACUUCCCCGGAUCCAUUCUGGUUUCCACGUGUUCUAGGGCCACUCAGUGACAAGAGCUCAGCCCAGACAGCUGUGACCAUCAGACGGCCCCGCUCCGCUUUCCACUUGCUGUCACCGACCUCGCAUCACCUCCCCAGCCUUUCCUCUUAGCAUUUGACAUAAAACAGCCCACACAUUUUUCAAAGGUGGCUGCUCUGGCUCUAUUGUCAUACAGACAAAGAACAGGAAGAGGAACACUACUUGGGCCAAGACAAAGCCAAGCCAAGAGCUUUC